AUUGAACGCUGGCGGCAGGCCUAACACAUGCAAGUCGAGCGGAUGAAGGGAGCUUGCUCCUGGAUUCAGCGGCGGACGGGUGAGUAAUGCCUAGGAAUCUGCCUGGUAGUGGGGGAUAACGUCCGGAAACGGGCGCUAAUACCGCAUACGUCCUGAGGGAGAAAGUGGGGGAGCUUCGGACCUCACGCUAUCAGAUGAGCCUAGGUCGGAUUAGCUAGUUGGUGGGGUAAGGGCCUACCAAGCCGACGAUCCGUAACUGGUCUGAGAGGAUGAUCAGUCACCUUGGAACUGGGCCACGGUCAAGAGGACUAAGGGAGGGAGCAGUGGGCAACAUUGGACAAUGGGGGAAAGUAUGAUACAGUCAUGGCGAGUGUGAGGAAGAGGCCUUCGGAUUGUAAAGACCUUUAAGGUGGGAGGAAGGGCAGUAAGUUAAUACCUUGCUGUUUUGACGGUAACAACAGAAUAAGCACCGGCUAACUUCGUG
rnacentral:rRNA from 1 species